rnacentral:rRNA from 1 species
UGCCAGCCGCCGCGGUAAUACGGAGGGUGCUAGCGUUGUUCGGAAUUACUGGGCGUAAAGGGCGCGUAGGCGGCUUGUCAAGUUGGAAGUGAAAUCCCGGGGCUCAACCCCGGAACUGCUUUCAAAACUGGCUAGCUUGAGUUAUGUAGAGGAUAGUGGAAUUCCCAAUGUAGAGGUGAAAUUCGUAGAUAUUGGGAGGAACACCAGAAGCGAAGGCGACUAUCUGGGCAUAUACUGACGCUGAGGCGCGAAAGUGUGGGGAGCAAACAGGAUUAGAUA